UUUUCCCCAUUCCCAUGGAAUUUUCCUUGGAUUUUUCCCAUUCCCACGGAUUUUUCCCAAAUUCCCGUGGAUUUUUCCUGAAUUCCCGUGGAUUUUCCCCAUUUUAUUGGAUUUUUCCCGAAUUCCCGUGGAUUUUCCCCGUUUUGGGCCUCCCCCGGCUCAGACCGAUCCCGUUGGAAUUCGGGAUCCGGGGAAGGUUCCAGAAGGAAUUCGGGGAUCCCUGGGAAAUCCCAGCCUGGGAAUUGGCCCAGUUCGUCCCAGUCACUCCCAGUCUGUCCCAGUCCAUCCCAGUUCCAUCCCAGUUUGUCCCAGUUCAUCCCAGUUUAUCCCAGUCCCAUCCCAGUCUGUCCCAGUUUAUCCCAGUCCAUCCCAGUCUGUCCCAGUCCAUCCCAGUCUGUCCCAGUCCAUUCCAGUUUGUCCCAGUCCAUCCCAGUCUGUCCCAGUCCAUCCCAGUCCCUCCCAGUUCCAUCCCAGUCCCUCCCAGUCCAUUCCAGUUCCAUCCCAGUCCAUCCCAGUUCCAUCCCAGUCCCUCCCAGUCCAUCCCAGUCCAUCCCAGUCCAUCCCAGUCCAUCCCAGUUCCAUCCCAGUCCCUCCCAGUUCCCGGCGGUGCCCGCGGGGAUUUUGCACAAGAAAAGCGGCGGCGGCGGAGGGGGAGGGGCUGGAAAUGGGGAAAUUUGGGAAAUUUGGGAUGGGGGAGGGACUGGGAUGGACUGGGAUGGACUGGGAUGGACUGGGAUAAACUGGGAUGGACUGGGAUGGACUGGGAGCGAACUGGGAUGGGACUGGGAUGGACUGGGAUGGAACUGGGACGGAACUGGGA
rnacentral:lncRNA from 1 species